ACCCCUAGACCAGGUUCUUUUGUGGUUCAUAAGUGUGAUGAUUGGGUUUUUUGCUCAUGUGUGAGAUGUGCCUCCCUCAAACCUCGUUAUGAUGUCGGCACAUCACCCAUCUGACUUGGAAAAAAAAAAAUCCCUGCACCAAAGGCUGUUCUGGUUCCAUCUAACCAUGCUUGAAAGCAAACUUCAAAAAGAUUAACUGUUUCCAACAUAAUGGACAAUGAGCGGGAGGGAAACUGAUCAACAUAAACAGACCCAGAAAUAACAUAGAUGCAGGAGUUAGUAGACAAGGACAUCAAAACAGUUAUAACUACAUUCCAUAUGUUCAAGAAGGUGGAGAAAAAUGUGAGCAUAUUAAAGAUAUAAAAAGAUAUUUUAAGAGAGCCUUAAAGUUGGGAGAGGAGCACCUCAAAGCUUGAGGUAUCUCUGAUAUGUAAAAAGAAAGCAGCAACAUCCACUUUCCUUAUCUGGUGUGAUCAUGCCUACUAAUGCACACCACAUAUCUCUCCAAAAUAAGUUUGUCAUUUGCAGUCCUCUCCAUUUGUCCCGUGGCUGACUUUGACCUCUCUCUACUGUGUUGUGCCUGACUCUUUCACUGAGAGCCUCAGGCUCAGAUUUCACAAUCCUUGUCCCAAUCAAACUUAGCUGACUCUAGUCUCAACCCCACAGGACCAUGCUGCCUACCACUCAACAGGAGCUAAAAUGAAAAAGUUGUGAAGGACUUAAUGAGUUACUGCUCCUUGGUAGGGAACUUAGAGAAUCCAGAGACAGACCAAAACUGAAGCUCAUCCCUAGUGAGGGGACCUUUCCCAUUUUGGAGACAGAUUGUGCUGUACUGAUGACCAUGUGCAUAAACAAGCCUCUUCUCUCCACUCUUCAACCUUGUCUUUAAAAACAGGCCUGUCCCAGCAUGUGGGGAAAACAUACAAAGCAUGUUGAACUCAGAUAUGAAUCUGAAUGCUGUGGAAAACAGCCAAAAAAGUGGCAUCUUCUCCACCACUGACGAUCCUUUGCAUCCCUCUCCUCCUUGAGAUGCAGGAAAAAAAAGUCUGAUUUGUUGGCAUCAGACCUAGUCUUUAGAUGGGAAAACUAAUAAACAUCAACCUUGAAGACAAGAGACAAACAUUUCUUCUCCAGAAAUAUACUGGGGGUGUUAAGAAAUGUUCUUUCACUUUAAGAGCAAUACCAGCACAACCUUUCCAUUUCAGUCGAGAAGUCUGGUCCACGAUGUCCUAGGUAGACCGUGAAGCUCUGAAGAACAUGUGCCUUGCACUUGCUCCUGGUUCAAUUUGUCCAUUGCUCAUCAUAAAUCUCAGAGACACCGGAGAGAACCAAGCAUCACCAACAGUGACUGAUAUGGUUUGGCUGUGUCCCCACCCAAAUCUCAUCUUGAAUUGUAAUCCCCAUAAUCCCCCCGAGUCGUGGGAGAGACCUGCUGGGAGGUAAUUGAAUCAUGGGGGUGGUUUCCCCUAUGCUGUUCUCGUGAUAGUGACAGAGUUCUCACAAGACCUGAUGGUUUUAUAAGCGUCUGGCAUUUCCCCUGCUGGCACUCUUUCUCUCCUGCUGCUCUGUGAAGAGGUGCCUCCUAUCAUGAUUGUAAGUUUCCUGAGGCCUCUCUACUCAGGCAUAACUGUGUCAAUUAACCUCUUUUCUUUAUAAAUUACCAGACUUGGGUAUUUCUUCAUAGCAGCAUGAGAACAUAUGAAUACAAUGACCAGUUAUGGAUGAGAAGUGCCCAACUGCACAAUCUUAUCGAUUUCAUACCACCAGGUCUCACAGAAAUGGUACGGAGAUGUCUCAAGCAAGAUCAAAUCAGA
rnacentral:lncRNA from 1 species